AAAAAAAAAAAAAAAAAGCCAGUAUCUUGGAGAGUCUGAAUUUUGUCCUUCAAUAAGCUCCCAGGUGUACUGGGUAGGCUUUGGUGAUUGCAAAUGGAGAUUAAGGAAACGGUGAGUUUUCCACCAAGAGCACCAGCAUCUCCUCCUCCUUGUGUUUGUCUGCUGCCUUUAGACAGAGGGCUCCAAGUCUAGGACCUGAAUGGGCACCUUCAGCUCAGCAGCACUAUGUUUACUAGUCUACUUCCCUAUGUGCAAUUAGGGUCUCUUGUACACGUGAUGAUGUGACGAUGGACACGUUACAAAAAUGUCACUUUGUGUGACUUAAUGGUGUCACACAUUGCGUGUACAUGAGUUUUGGGGUUUUAGAUGAGUUUGCAUCACUGCAAACUAAACUACACCCUGAUGUAGUUGAGUUUGCAAUGAUGCAUUGCAGCUAUUAGUCAGCUCGCUCUCCCAGCCGUGGUAGAGGCGGGCAGGCUCCACCAAAAAAAAAGGAUCGGGCCCCUUGCCACUUGUGCCUUCAACAGGUGCCUGGCUUGAAUAUUCAGAGUAACGGGGCCCUCAGGGAUGAGCAGAAACCAUUUUAAGUGCCCUUCUUACAAACGGGAAAAUAUACAGGAACCGGCUGCUCCAAGAGACCCGCUCUAGAUUCUUGUGCGUGUUGCGGCUGCUUUGCUGGCACGGUAUCGGCCCCGGGUAGACUGGAGUUAUUGAGAGGCGGUCUGGACUUCCUGGUCCUUAGGCUCGGCAGGCUCCCGAUGCGUUUAAACUGUUGUUUUGAUCUGCCGUCCAUCAGAGUGCUUACGUGUUAUCAUACCCAGUAUUUCUGUGGAGCGCUCCUUGCCCUGAGUGGAGUGUAUGAAAUGGCUGGAUCUGCGGGGAACCAUCUUGUAGCGUUUUCCUUGGUUCUUACUGUUAAAAUAGUAAUGGCAUCCCCAAAGCAUUUGCAGUAGCUGCAAUGGCAUUCCCUAUACUUGACAUGAAGGUUGCUAUGAAUAUUGCAGAUGCACUGUCGUUUUGGCUAAGUAUGUCUUUGUAUAAUGGGAGCACCUUGCUUUAGAAGGCAGGGCAGCACGAGAGGCAAGUCCAUUUAAAAAACUUGGCAGAGCCACCCGGGUCAGUUGGGAAGACAAGUCUUUUGUAACUCGGUGGUGCACGAAAUGCAUUUACCGGCUUAAAUGGGGUUCGGUCAGAAUUGACCAUUUAACACCCAGACUGCAAUGCUUCAGUCCCAAUACCAUUUUCAUGCUGAUGUAUGGCCAUGAGAGGUGGGGAUUCACCCAUGAUCUAGACAUCUAGACUCUCUCAAAAGCAACGAAAAAUACCAUCUCAAUGGGAGGCAGCUGAAAGAAAAACCUGAGCAUCGACCUCAUCGCGAUCGUCAUUGCACAGCAUGUGGAACAGACGGGAGGGGCUGGCCGAUGGAAACCCUCCACCAGACACUGCUGAAAGCAAAAACUGAGGGGAUUUCACCACGCAGAGGAUAUGGACUGAGUGGCAGAGCCAAGACCAGCAUAGCAGAGACUAGGUACAGACAUUCACUUUCUCCUAGAGGAGUCGCUGAUCUCCUAGGAGAAAGCCCAAGCAUGUAGACAUUAAUUCUUUUUCACCCACAGCACAAAGGGCUGCUCGUGGAGAAGAGUCACUUGGGAGCAAUGGUUCCUGGGAGAAUCUGUCUUGGGAGACCACGUGUCUGUCUUGGAACCCAGUCUUGGUCAGGCUUCUGGCAUGACUUGACUAUGGGCAUGUCUGCGCAUGCACGGUCACCGGUUGAACGUUACUGAGUGUCAAGGUGAAGAGCUGAGCUCCUAAACUGAUAUCUGGGAUUGAUCUGAAGCUGCUUUGGAAAAAUAAAUGGCUUUCACAAGGUUCCUUCCCCGCAGAAGCCUCUGGUUGGAUUCAUGCCAUAAAGCAGACAUAUUUACCGUUCAUGAAGUGGUGCGAGCUGCCAAGCAUGCUGCAUGCAACAAAUGGACAUGGGAAGAGAAGGAGGCACACCACCAUUAGCAGACCCGAAGCCUGGCCGGUGUUUCUGAAUGUGGGCUUCAUUGGCAAGGUUUCCUGCACCAGCCACAUGUCAUCUGAAGAGCUACAUUCCCCAUUGCCCCCACGGUUGAAGUGUUACACAGGUGUUCUGGUUUUGAGGAUUAAAACAUUCUUUUGAUGUUUCCACUGUCUCUCAAGUCAGGAAAUGUAGCCUGCCAGAUUGGCAGAGGUAGGGGUAAAGCGGGUCGACACUACUGCACCAUCCUCAUCUCGGGCAGUUCAGGUCAGUCAGAGCUCGGGCAGGCGCCUUGCCUAGCUGAAGGACCGAUAAUAGUGAAGCUGUGGCGGUGACUAGCGCCGGGUGCAAAACCUGCCUGAGCAACCGGGCAGAUGCUCAGGUAUUUGCCGCUCGGGUGGGUUUGCCUGUGCUCGGCUCUAGCCUGCCAUGCCCCCCCCCCCCCGUGCUAAAUUGAAAAGCAGAAGGGUCUGUUGCAUACUCACGAGUGGUAAUUUAUGGUCGGUUUUGUUUUUAAUUCUAUCUCUGAAAUGAUACUGCACUUCCCCAGGAAGGAGCAGCCUGUGCUGUAAGCGUGCUCGGUGGCGUCCCUCCAGCGGAACUGGAUUGCUCGCUACGUGAUAUACAAGUGCCCGCACAGCUUCGGCACAUCUCGCUGCACGCGAGGGUGCUGCACAGAAAACAAGAGCCACUUUUUCUGAAUGUCGGGACACUUUUCAAACACUGGAAUGUGCGGUGUAGCUGCCUCCCUGCCGGGAACCAUCAGCAACCCUAGUCAAUUAGGAGAGUGUUCUCAUUUCUGACAGCGGGGAUGUUUCCUUGUCGUCCAGUGUCAUCCCUAGCACGAGGGAGAGAGCAGGGCCCCUUGGAUCGCAGUGAGAGAGAGAGGCAGUGAGAGUGAACUUGCCACUGGGACUUGCCUUCAGAGGUUCCGCCCUUCCAGAGAUCAGAAGCAUCGAUCAGGUUAUCAUUGUCCUGGCCGCCGUAACGUGUCAGUAGUCCUGGAGAGCUAGAUUAGACGAGAAAGCAGAAGCAUCUUCUUGUUCUUCACGUGUGCUGUGAAACAGCUGGCUGUCGCACAGUGGAGAACUUGCUCUCAAGCCUGCUCCCUGGCAAAGAUGCACAGGUUCACGCCUGUUGAGCCCCCAGGAGCCAAAGACCUGGACCUGGACCCCCCAGCGAAAGGCCGGGAGAUAAAAGCUGGGCCGACAGAGAGGGCAGGGGUGCUUGCAGGGGUUUGAGGGAGUGUGUGUGUGGGUGCGCAAGUGUGCGUGCGUAUGGGGCUGUGCUGGGUGGGAUGCACUGGUUGAGUGAAGCCUGGGGGGGACCCCCACCCCACCUCCAGUCUCUACUUAGUUGAGCCCCCCCAGGGAGCCCUGUGACUGGAGCUGUGCAAACAGAGCAUGCAAACAGGCACAGCCUGACAAAGACGCAGCAGUUUGCACAGGAGUUUGUGCAGUGGGGUGCGCACUAGGCACCUGAAGGGCUGGUCCGAGCAAGUGACCUGAGCCCAGAGGCCUAGAGAAAAGCUGCUGAGACCAGGUAAGUACGGGAAGUAGCUCGCGGCCACGGAAGUGACCUGAUGUGCCUGUCAGCAUCAGCUUCUUGGUGCUGAGACCUCCAUCCAGACUGGCCCUGCACCAUGGGGGCUGCCAACACCCGAGCAUGGGCGCACCCCCCCUUGUGGGAUGCAUGCCUUGGUGGAGUCCCUGGAGGGCUGAGUGUGGGAGCUCGAGGAGGAGGUAUGAGAGCUGCCAUGACAGGGACCAUGAAGAUUACAGCCACAACAACUGCCAGGCCCUAAUCCAAGGGAACGGGGGAGGAGGUGGCCACAAACCGCUCCACAAGCUCCCUGGAAAACGGUCGUCUCCAUAUCUGGGGCACGCAGAGCUAGGGCUGCUCCUCCCCUGGCACUGCACAACAGGUACGCUCCCCUCACGGCGCAAGAGGAGACUCUGACAGAGACACCAAAGGAGGAGGUAAGUAUUCAGGAGGUAAGUAUCCCUGCCCCUAGGAGGAGACACUGGGCGGUGGCAGCGGGGGGACUCUCUCCUGAGAGGUACGGAGGAACCCACCUGCUGUCUGGACCCCGUAGCCCGAGAGGUCUGCUGGCUCCCUGGGACCCGCAUGCAAGAGGAUCCCCAGGCUCGUCCAUCCCUCCGAUUAUUACCCUGCACUCCUUGUCUGUGUGGGCACGGACCAUGUGGCCAAGGGUAACCCUGACUUGGACAUGAGUGACUGCAGGGCCCUGGGCUCGAGGGACUGGGGGCUCAAGUCAUUUUCUUUUCUGUGUUCCCUGUUGCAGGCCAUGGAGCCAGGAGGGAAGGCUGCAUGGAAGAUAUCAACAGACGCCUCCUACAAUGGUGUGACCACGAGGGUUUUGUUUUCUUUGACCCCAGCAUGCACUUCAGAGAGAGAGGACUACUAGGAGAGGCCCCUGAACCAAGCAGAGGAGCUGGAUGUGGACUUCUCUAGAGAACCGACAGAGAGGCUGGGCGUCCCAGGGUGACUUCAAGUACCUGGACUCAGCUCGGGAGGAAUGCUCGGCUAGGUCGGAUCAGUCACGCAGUUCCCUGACUGCGAUAGAGAACCUCUUCCUGAUCCAGGAUGUGCAAGGGCGAAGCAGAGGUGUGGCUGAAGGGCCUGUUGGUGGAGUAUUGGAGACGUAAGCACAGUAACUGGUAUCUGAAAGAAGACAUAUUCAUCCUUCAGCAUUUAUGAUGGGUGCUCAUGGUCCUUGUGGUAUUUAAACAAAACAUUACUUGAGGUAGAGAGAGAUCAUAAGAAACAGGUUGAGGAUUUCUUUGCCACAGUCUAUUCAUGCACAGGUAAGCUGUGUACAAAUCUGCAAUAACUUUGUAUAUGAACACUUUGAGCAUACUUUUAAGUUCAGCUCAGUGUAAUGCAGCUAACUCCAGAGAUCCUCUAGAAUUGUUAUGGUUCUGCUUAACCUCAACAUUUAUUUCCAAGAGCUACUUUUACAGUAGAGACUUGGGUUUUUGUUAGUUUUGUAUGGGGGGUGGAAUUAAAUUAAUUUUGCUUUGUUUUCAAUUGAGCUGAGCUGCAUAGAACCCAUGCUGGAGCUCUUUCAAAUUGUCCAUAAUGGAAACCAGUGAAGAGUAGUUGGUAUGCUGUUAAUUCACACCCUAUCUUCCUAGGCAGGCACACAAGUCCUAAACAUUGAAAACGUUAAAGGGCACAUUGGUACUGAUGUGGUAAGACUUUUGGCUCGCAUGUUCUCGAGCAUGUCGACACUUCAUCUUGAUGUGGAGUAUAAAAAUGCCACCUUUAACCCUUUACAGUAGUUACUUUCCCUUUUGGGGUUGGUAGUGUAAUUUUUUUAAAUCUAUUUUUCCUCCUUGUCCAUAUGCUCUUAAUUGGAUUACCUAAAUGAAGGUUGUAAAAUUCCCCAGUUUUCGGGCUUGAUUUCUUUAGUUAUUGUUGUUAUGAUUUGCUUUCGAAGGGACAAAGUGCUUUCUCGACAUUCAAGAAGAGACCCUCCAGAAGAACGAAGCAGAUGUUAAGCAGGGACAUACACAUGCACAUAUGCAUGCACGCAUGCCUGCAUGGAUGUGCAUGCAUGCACGCAUGCCUGCAUGGAUGUGCAUGCAUGCACAUGGGGUCUGUGUACAAAUCCCCAAUAUUCACAAAGGCAGCAGAAUAGAUUUUGAGAGGAGCUGAACACCACAGCUUGCCUUGAAUGUUGUUGGACUUGUUUGUUCGCUACCUUGUCAAGGAAUUCACCCAGAGUAGGACUGGUUGACUGAAACCUGACCUGACUUGUGUAUGUGGUAUGGGAAAUGGAAUGGUUUGAAGUACAUCUGCCUAAGCCUGGAGAAUUCAGCCUGGCAGGUGUGGCAAACCUCCUUCUGUGUCUAGGAAAGUGAGAUAGUUAGCUGUGUUAGUCUGAAGUCAGGCAGAAGGCAAGGCAGAGUUGCACCUUCAGGUUUGUGCAGACAUUUGCACCUGGUCUAUGCUCAUGUAUCUUCCUGUUAAGCUGUGCUGUGACAGAUCAGGAGUAGCAAGCGCACACCCUGGCUGGUGCCAGGAAUUCCAUGUAGGUAAUUUGGGGUGGAUAGAGGGCCUAGCAGGUGGAGGGAGGGGAGAGGGAAGGACAGAUGACCCUGCAGUGGGGAGGGAUGUUGAUG